GUGAACGCUGGCGGUAGGCCUAACCCAUGCCAGUCGAACGGCAGCACAGUAAGAGCUUGCUCUUACGGGUGGCGAGUGGCGGACGGGUGAGGAAUACAUCGGAAUCUACUUUUUCGUGGGGGAUAACGUAGGGAAACUUACGCUAAUACCGCAUACGACCUACGGGUGAAAGCAGGGGAUCUUCGGACCUUGCGCGAUUGAAUGAGCCGAUGUCGGAUUAGCUAGUUGGCGGGGUAAAGGCCCACCAAGGCGACGAUCCGUAGCUGGUCUGAGAGGAUGAUCAGCCACACUGGAACUGAGACACGGUCCAGACUCCUACGGGAGGCAGCAGUGGGGAAUAUUGGACAAUGGGCGCAAGCCUGAUCCAGCCAUACCGCGUGGGUGAAGAAGGCCUUCGGGUUGUAAAGCCCUUUUGUUGGGAAAGAAAAGCAGCAGGUUAAUACCCCGCUGUUCUGACGGUACCUAAAGAAUAAGCACCGGCUAACUUCGUG
rnacentral:rRNA from 1 species